rnacentral:rRNA from 1 species
ACUACGGGAGGCAGCAGUGAGGAAUAUUGGUCAAUGGGCGCGAGCCUGAACCAGCCAAGUAGCGUGAAGGAUGACUGCCCUACGGGUUGUAAACUUCUUUUAUAAAGGAAUAAAACGAGGCACGUGUGCCUUUUUGCAUGUACUUUAUGAAUAAGGAUCGGCUAACUCCGGGCCAGCAGCCGCGGUAAUACGGAGGAGCCGAGAGUUAUCCGGAUUUAUUGGGUUUAAAGGGAACGGUGAUGGGUUGUUAAGUCAGUUGUGAAAGUUUGCGGCUCAACCGUAAAAUUGCAAUUGAUACUGGCAGUCUUGCGUACAGUGUAGGUAGGCGGAAUUCGUGGUGUAGCGGUGAAAUGCUUAGAUAUCACGAAGAACCCCGAUUGCGAAGGCAGCUUACUAAACUGUGACUGACAUUGAUGCUCGAAAGUGUGGGUAUCAAACAGGAUUAGAUACCCGAGUAGUC